CCUACGGGGGGCAGCAGUGGGGAAUAUUGCACAAUGGGCGCAAGCCUGAUGCAGCCAUGCCGCGUGUGUGAAGAAGGCCUUCGGGUUGUAAAGCACUUUCAGCGGGGAGGAAGGCGUUAAGGUUAAUAACCUUGUCGAUUGACGUUACCCGCAGAAGAAGCACCGGCUAACUCCGUGCCAGCAGCCGCGGUAAUACGGAGGGUGCAAGCGUUAAUCGGAAUUACUGGGCGUAAAGCGCACGCAGGCGGUCUGUCAAGUCGGAUGUGAAAUCCCCGGGCUCAACCAGGGAACUGCAUUCGAAACUGGCAGGCUAGAGUCUUGUAGAGGGGGGUAGAAUUCCAGGUGUAGCGGUGAAAUGCGUAGAGAUCUGGAGGAAUACCGGUGGCGAAGGCGGCCCCCUGGACAAAGACUGACGCUCAGGUGCGAAAGCGUGGGGAGCAAACAGGAUUAGAUACCCGAGUAGUC
rnacentral:rRNA from 1 species